AUGGCAUUUCAUAUAAAACCGGCACAUCGGGUGGAAGACGAAGUAAUCCCUUGGCUUGUAUGUCCUCCUGAUACUGUGUUUGCUGUGUUGUCGCCUAUGAAAGACACUUCCGGGUAGCAAAUUGUUGAUCUACCGAAGGUCUUGGCUGGAAUACGCUGUGUGCGCGUUGUCAUCGCCUCUUGGAAUACGAGUUGAGGUUCGUAUGUGGGGGAAGUAACCAGGGAGUCCCAUUUCCAUUUAUGUUGAGUGUUGCAUUCCUAGAGGUGGCAGCCACUAUCUCUCUCUCUGGCUGGUCUAGGGUGUCUAAUCUGUAUCGUCCCAUAUUAUUCUGAGAACCAAGC